rnacentral:rRNA from 1 species
CAGUCGCCGCGGUAAUACGUAGGUCCCGAGCGUUGUCCGGAUUUAUUGGGCGUAAAGCGCGCGCAGGCGGAUAGGUCAGUCUGUCUUAAAAGUGCGGGGCUCAACCCCGUGAGGGGAUGGAAACUGUAUGCCUUGAGUGCAGGAGAGGAAAGCGGAAUUCCCAGUGUAGCGGUGAAAUGCGUAGAUAUUGGGAGGAACACCAGUGGCGAAGGCGGCUUUUUGGCCUGUAACUGACACUGAGGCGCGAAAGCGUGGGGAGCGAACAGGAUUAGAUACCCCAGUAGUCCCUGUCUCUUAUACA